CUUAAUUUACUUGUUUUAUAUUAAGAGAUUUACGUUUUAGACAGCAUAUUGGUUGUUUUUGCUCUAUUUCUCCAACAAAAAUCAUACCAAACACAGCCACA